GAUGAACGCUGGCGGCGUGCCUAAUACAUGCAAGUCGAGCGAACAGACGAGGAGCUUGCUCCUCUGACGUUAGCGGCGGACGGGUGAGUAACACGUGGGUAACCUACCUAUAAGACUGGGAUAACUUCGGGAAACCGGAGCUAAUACCGGAUAAUAUAUUGAACCGCAUGGUUCAAUAGUGAAAGACGAUUUUGCUGUCACUUAUAGAUGGAUCCGCGCCGCAUUAGCUAGUUGGUAAGGUAACGGCUUACCAAGGCAACGAUGCGUAGCCGACCUGAGAGGGUGAUCGGCCACACUGGAACUGAGACACGGUCCAGACUCCUACGGGAGGCAGCAGUAGGGAAUCUUCCGCAAUGGGCGAAAGCCUGACGGAGCAACGCCGCGUGAGUGAUGAAGGUCUUCGGAUCGUAAAACUCUGUUAUUAGGGAAGAACAAAUGUGUAAGUAACUAUGCACGUCUUGACGGUACCUAAUCAGAAAGCCACGGCUAACUACGUG
rnacentral:rRNA from 1 species